UCUAUUCAUGGUUUCCAAAAAAGGGACAGUUUUCUAUUAGGAAAACAUUAGAUUUUAAAAAUCUAGUUUUUGUUUUACUACUCCAAUGGCAUACAUAUUGUCCGUGACGGGGUGGUACAAGAAUGGCUUCCUUGUCUGAAUAAAAAGGAUAAUAUUAAGAUUUUGUGCCUGAGGUGGGAAAAUAUGUUUUUUGGAGGAUUAACAUAUCUUUCAAUUUGUAGGUUUGGCACCCAUUUCGUAGAAUGACUCGACUACUGACUGCUGCCCACACUGGAUUUAUGCUGAUUUUGUUGGAGAGACUUUGUGAUUUAUUUGUGACCGUUUUGUGCAUGUCUGCACACCUUUUUCUUUUGUGAAAUUAUUUAAUAAAAGCAGUCAGUAGUCAAGCCGACCCUGUCCUCUUCCUUCCUAAACAUUGAACCUUGCUACACUGGUGCCGAAACCCGGGAAGGAAAACGGACUCCGCCGCCAUGCAAUCGUCCUCCGGAAUGCCAUUUGCGGAGAUUAUCAGAGGUCAUGCAACAGGAACAACACAAGGUCCUGCUGGACUUGAGACGGAAACAAGAGACAGGUGUUCGUCAUUUGCAUUUAACUCACUCACUCACCGCUCGUCUCCUGCCUCUCUCUCCCGCUGCAGACUUCGCUGAACUAUGCCCCCCUCACCACACUUUUAUUUGUCUUUGACAUGUUAACUCUGAUUUCAUGUAUAUGUUUGCCCAAAAUGAUGAUCCAAAUCUGUAAGUAAAGAAAUUGUGAGCUAACGUUAGAUUUGCCUAACAUGGUAUUUUGCUUCGUCCAGGGAAAAAUGUAAGGAUUUUUUUCAGUAUAAAUCAUGGUCAUGAUUUUAGUAGAAAUAGUAGAUUAUAAUAGUAGUAUUUGCAAAACUAAUUAAUUGACCUAGCAAACAACUUUCGACCAGUAAUAAGUGCUGUAAAAAUGUUUCUCCCCUUAGGACCUAAAGCUUUUCAGUGUUGUUUGACGAGGACACUUUUGAAAUACAUGGUAAGUAAUUUCUAUUAACAAACAAAUCUCUCCCUCAAAGUGAUGGUUUGCAUUACUGUGUAUGAAUUGUCAAGGUAUCAGUUAAAUAUCUUCAUUACAUUUCUAUUGAAGGAAAAAAGACAGAAGGUGAGUAACAGCAAAUUUUCAUUUUUGUGUGUUUUUAUUUUCAGACUAAAUUAUAAAUGCAACCAGUGACUGAUUCAGAUAUGUUUCUUAAUUGCAGAUCUGGCUAGUCAUUAAUACAAAUUAUUUUUGUUUUGAAAAAAAAAAAAAAAAAAUUGUCCUAUCCUUUGCUGUCACAUAUCUGCACAUAAUCUGAUUCCUUAUUAGAUUCAGAUUUUUAAGAUUAGAAAAAUAAUCACAAUUGCUUUAUCACAGACUGAAAACAUUCACCUGAGAAGAGUGUGUCCUGUAGGCCCUUUUUUUCCCUGAGAGAAAGUCCUGAAGACCUCGUGAAGGAGUACCUUGUGAGUUGAACACAGAUGAUUGAGAGGGUGACCUUGAGCAGCUCUUCGUGGUGGUGUUCAUUAUACUGAAGGAGGGAGAAAACUUCACGAACCACUUGCUGACAUUGGCAUUGUGAUCGAGGGAUAAAGUUUUGAAUCAACUCACUUCAGUCACAUCAGAUUGUGCCCUGCUUUUGGAUAUGAUAUACAUCAACCUAUAAUGGUUUAUAUUAAAUAGUCAUAAAUUUGAAUUCAGUGUGUUUUAACUUAAACUUUUUUUUUUUAAUCAUUUAAAGUUUCACUUAAUUUUGUAGCACAUUGUAAGUCACAUUUCCAAAUUUGUAUGACCCACCUUCUGUCAGUCAUACACUACUACCAAUCAAAUGUUUAAGAACAUUGUGCAGAUCAGACUUCCUUUUUGUAUUUGUUUUCUUUAGAUGCCUUACAACAAGUGAAGGCUGAAAAAAGGAGGCCUCAAAGUUUGUAUUUGCUGUUUCUGAAAAACUGGCUCAGUUAUGCUCCUGAUCAGCUUGCGGGCAUUGCUCGUGGUGGAAAUCCCUGAGUUUGUCAGAGUAUCAAUUUAUUGAAUAAGGAAAUACUUUUUGCAUUAGAAGAGUAGCUUCAAUCCUUGAAAAGCUUCAAGUCCUGAACCGUGAACUGUGGUAGUGUUUCAGUUUGUAGUGCUGUGUUUCUGUCUUUGUUGGUGAGUUUCCAUGUGUAUUUACUUCCAUUUUACAGAUGCAGGUUGCAUUUAUGUUGUCACGGUUUUCCAGGCUCUUUUUCCAAUGACUAAAAUGCAUGUUUGAGCUGU